UGGGGAAUAUUGCACAAUGGGCGCAAGCCUGAUGCAGCCAUGCCGCGUGUGUGAAGAAGGCCUUCGGGUUGUAAAGCACUUUCAGCGAGGAGGAAGGGUAGUGUGUUAAUAGCACAUUGCAUUGACGUUACUCGCAGAAGAAGCACCGGCUAACUCCGUGCCAGCAGCCGCGGUAAUACGGAGGGUGCAAGCGUUAAUCGGAAUUACUGGGCGUAAAGCGCACGCAGGCGGUUUGUUAAGUCAGAUGUGAAAUCCCCGCGCUUAACGUGGGAACUGCAUUUGAAACUGGCAAGCUAGAGUCUUGUAGAGGGGGGUAGAAUUCCAGGUGUAGCGGUGAAAUGCGUAGAGAUCUGGAGGAAUACCGGUAGCGAAGGCGGCCCCCUGGACAAAGACUGACGCUCAGGUGCGAAAGCGUGGGGAGCAAACA
rnacentral:rRNA from 1 species